UUCUAAUGAAUAAUUUCAAUAAAGUAGUAACAGCCAAUCACAGUUAACGUUGGUUAGGUUCCUAUCUAGUGAGGCCGAUCACACAGCUCCUCGACAAGACAAGCGUACCGUGGGUUUCAUUCAGCGUCUGUCCAUUGCUGCUAGCAGAACUGAAUAAUGUAGUGUCAGUAUUUUGUGUUAAUCAUAGCUUUUAUGCCAGCUUUAGGCUUGUUAGUAUUUGGCUGUGGAACCAUCUGUUCCAAUAGCAUGUCUUAGUUUUUCCGCCCCAGUAAAUGCUUUAAUCAAAAAGAGAGGAUAUCAAAUUUGUCACCUCACAAUGGAGAUUUUCCUCCUAUUACCGCUACUAAGCGGUCAAUGUACGGGUCCAUCAAUGUUCGGGUCCAUGAAUGUCUCGUGAACGUGUGUCUUUCAGCCGCUGAGAUGCCUCUGAAUCGAUGGCAAUCCUAGAAGCUUGGGGUAUGCUGUCUUCUGUCCCAUCGGGACGUGUAGAGCUCAAUCACCGAGUCUAGAUUCAAAUUGAAGAAGCAGCUUUGAGAGAAAAAGGAUUCAGUUUGCAUCAGAGGAAAUGGGAUUCUCUUAACAAGGGAAAAGAGAUCAGACGAAAGAGCGAAAUUCUCGAUGUUUUAUUGAGUUGAGCUGAGACGUCUGGCGACCUGCUGACAACAUGAAGCUUUUUGAACGGUUUCACUCGACACAGGAAUUUUGUCUACACUUUGUUGGAGAGAAUAGCAAACAAUUGUAUUAUGAUAAUAACAGGCGAGCAAGCUGUUCUAUAUCACUCUUCUCGAAAACUAUUCUCUAUCUUUCUAGGAAAAAUACGCUCGUCCAGUGGUAGGAACUAAUACUGUUAUAGAUUUACUAUAAAAGUUACUCAGCCAUUGGAAUUAAUCCAAAGAUUUAUUCCUGAAUCUUCGAUCAAAUUUAUUUACUUCAAUAAAACUUUUGAUUUAGACCAAUGAUGUGUAGUCUAUUGAAAUGAUGAUUUUGAAUGAAUUCAGUUUUAAGAUAAGUUCCAUUCCUUAGUUAUCUUAAGAAUCUU